rnacentral:rRNA from 1 species
AUUGAACGCUGGCGGCAGGCCUAACACAUGCAAGUCGAACGGUAACAGGAAGAAGCUUGCUUCUUUGCUGACGAGUGGCGGACGGGUGAGUAAUGUCUGGGAAACUGCCUGAUGGAGGGGGAUAACUACUGGAAACGGUAGCUAAUACCGCAUAACGUCGCAAGACCAAAGAGGGGGGCCUUCGGGCCUCUUGCCAUCGGAUGUGCCCAGAUGGGAUUAGCUAGUAGGUGGGGUAACGGCUCACCUAGGCGACGAUCCCUAGCUGGUCUGAGAGGAUGACCAGCCACACUGGAACUGAGACACGGUCCAGACUCCUACGGGAGGCGGCAGUGGGGAAUAUUGCACAAUGGGCGCAAGCCUGAUGCAGCCAUGCCGCGUGUAUGAAGAAGGCCUUCGGGUUGUAAAGUACUUUCAGCGGGGAGGAAGGGAGUAAAGUUAAUACCUUUGCUCAUUGACGUUACCCGCAGAAGAAGCACCGGCUAACUCCGUG